AUCUUUUAUCUUAUCUACUCAGAGGGUAUAGAAGAAGCUAAGACAGCGGAUCAUUCAUCUGCUGCAGUUAUCGGAGGCUCAGUUGCUGGCGGUGUUGUAGCGAUUGGCAUUUUGUUGUUGUUGGUUGUUCUAAUAUAAACGAAGGCUGCAACGAGUCAAACGGAAUGAAAGUGAAAACUACUACAAAACAAUCCAUCGCAAUAUGGCACAAGUAGAUGAUGAGACAACUUACGAUACAAUUGACAUUUCACACGAUAAUCAAGACCAACAGAACGAAGAAGAUAAUGUGCGUGUUACAGGAUUAUGACAUUUCAAUCACAGAUUCAAACAUUUAGAUAUUACAUAUAUGUUCUUAUUACAUUGUGAUUUUGUUUGUCCAUAAUUAAAGUAUGUUCAACCGUAAAGUUGACAGAAUUUAGUAUUUAGAGUGUGUUUGACAAAAAACAAGGGAAGAAUUAUAUGUACGGAUGUAUAGAGUAGAUGAUAAAUCUUUCUUAAACAAAUUAUCAUGUUUUAUUAUAUAAAUGCUUUACAAAAUCACUUACACUUUAUUGUGUAAAAAAUAUUCUAAGGGAAUAUUUAAAUCAUACAUUCUUAUUUUUAUCAAUAUUUGAUUAAUACUAAUAUUAAUAAUGAAAGAAAUAGAUUAAUAUAUUUGUUUGUUUUGUGUGACAACAAUGUUUUUUAAGCUGACGAGAUGACACAAAAUGAUACCUUACAUAAUAACAAAUGAUUUGUGCUUAGUUUCGAAUUCAAAACAGUUUACAUUUUUUUGUUAUUAGUUCUUCAUCGACUGGAAGCUUUUAAUUUAGACAACCUCUUUACAUAAUACGAAAGAAAGUUUAAGUUUAAAAAUAAGUUCAAAAAGAUAACAUGAGAUGGAAAUGACAAUGAUUAGUUCAAAUAAAACGCACGUUUAUCGGUUUGAUUAUUAAAAACAUUUUUAAAAGGCUUUUUUAAGAACGCUUGUGGUUUAUUUACGUAUCUUGUGAAUGUUGUUUGUGUUAACUUAUGUACUUAGAGUUAUGUCGUAAACACACACAAGAUGUGUACGCAGCAGUCGGGAUUCGAACCACGAGGCUCUGUAUUGCGGUCCAGUAUGCUUACUACUACCACAGCGGCCGUUGCUUUUCUCCGCCCUAAAUGAGUUCAUAUAUCAAAAGUUAUUCUUAACUAAAUUGUGACGUCAUCACUUUAAGAGCU